UAAACAUGCUUCAUACACCGUCAAGUUAUUUGUUACCUUAAAGUCCAAUCGCUUGGCCAUUGGCAGCAUUUUUUCUUCAUGCGUGAUUAGAACUACUCCUAACCUCGCAUCUCUUAUGUUCACUGCUCCAUCAAAGUACAUCUUCCAUUCUUGGAUCUUAAUUGCCUCCAAAUUUUCAUCAAGAGACUCCAAGUCCUAAGGGUC
rnacentral:lncRNA from 1 species